rnacentral:lncRNA from 1 species
GUCAACUAUGAUAUGAAAUAAAUUUAAUAUGCAUUGAUGUCUUACAGAAUCACUUUUAUGAGUUAAAUACCAUGCAAAUUACUAAAGAAUUCUGUGUAUCUGUGGAUGAUUCAAAUGAAAAUAUUUGUUUACCUGUGAAAGGAAAAUAUGUAUCACAUAAAAUAUAAAGAUUUAAUGUUAUAAACAUUGUAUGUAUAAUCAAUAUAUUUUGCCCAUCACACUUUUAUUACAAAAUCAGAAUUUAUAAACCAUAUUCAUUUCCUUAAAAAAUGGCUUAAAAAAGCACCUGGAAAUUUUUUAGGCACAAGAUUUAUUUUAAAAACAUAUAAUUUGUUCCUAAUCUGCAGAAAGAAGUUUCGUAAGAUUACUAAUCACUAGGAUUUGCUUUUUCUGUAGCAGCCACAGGAGAGGACGAUACAAUAGGUCUUCGGAAAAGGUCAGGCGGGACCCACUGUGUACUUGUUCUUUCUUUCAUUUUCAAGCUUCUCUCCCUUCCUAUGCCUUUGGAGUAACUUCUGCUCACCAGUGAAUAUAUUUUGUUCCAUGGGAUUUAUGAAAUUUCUAACCUUUCUUUGUGUUCUGCACUGCCUUGUCCAUUUCAUCAUCACCUUCCUGUCGUUUACCACCUUGAAGCAGAUUCUUUACUAUUGAGCCACCAGGGAAACCAUAAAUAAACAAAAAAACAACUUAGCUCAGCAAAGCACAUUAUAGCAAAGUGAUCUGUUAUUAUAUAGCGUGACUAAAAAUGGGCAAUCAUGAAAAACAUUCUUUUAAAAUAUAAAUUAUUUGAAUGCUUACAGCCUUUAAACUUUCAAAGAAAUUAUCUUCAGUUAUACCAUGUACAGUUGAUAUGAGGAGUUCAAGAAAUAGUAAUGGAUAUAGAGACUUCACACAAUGUAUUGUUUUUCAGUCACUAAGUCCCUACUCUUUGCAGGCCCAUGGACUGCAGCACACCAGGCCUCCUUGUUCAUCACCAAUUCCCGGAGUUCACUCAAACUCAUGUCCAUUGAGUCGGUGAUGCCAUCCAGCCAUCUCAUCCUCUGCCGUCCCCUUCUCCUCCUGCCUUCAAUCUUUCCCAGCAUCAGGGUCUUUUCCAAUGAAUCAGCUCUUCGUACCACACAGUGUAUACAGCACAAGGUCUGGCAGAGAGCGUGGCCAGAAGCGGACCGUGGCCUUCUACCCUGGGGCCCUCCAGGCCCUCCAGCCUCUGGUCGGUCGGUGAACCGCGGGCCCCGGGUCAGUCGUGGUGUGCUCUGCAGCGCGGUAGCCGAGGCCCCGGUCGGCGGGGCCCAGGACCGGAAGCAGCCGCGAACCUCUCCUCGCCCCAACCCGCACCCCCGCGACCUAAUGGCGGCGGCCCCUCCGAGCCGGGAUCUGCCGACCGCUGGGUCUCCACCCUGCGCUGCAGGGCUUGGCCUCAGGUGA